GCUUUAUAAGGCUAAGUUUCCUAGCACAAGUUCUCUUUGCCUGCUGCAAUCCAUGUAAGAUGUGACUUGUUCCUCCUUGCCUUCUGCCAUGAUUGUGAGGCCUCCACAGCCAUGCGGAACUGUUGAAAUACACACUACCUGAAGCUGGAUAACUCAUGAACUCUGUUGACAAUUAUAUUCUUUGUCUUUUUAAUUAACUCAUUUGGAGUUGGUGUCCUGAGGACCUAAGCCUAAGAAUCUUCAAGAUGGAAGAGUAGAGUGAACAAUGAAUGAGCCAGAGGGCUCUUGUCCUCUGUGUGCAGCUCUGGGCAGCCAGCAGGUGGAUAUGGGACUUGGCCUGCUGGAGGGGCCCUGGCAAGAGGAGCUGGCAGGAGCAGAUGGCAAAGGUGGAGUCUCGCACUGUCAUCCUGGCUGGAAUGCAGUGGUGCAAGCCGACUCACUGCAACCUCUGCCUCUUGGGUUCAAGUGAUUCUCCUGCUUCAGCCUCCUGAUUUGCUGGGAUUGCAGAGCAAACCAGUGAAAAAAUGGCCUUCGCACUCCUGAGAGACCUUUCACCGGGCUUUCUACUUUUGAAUUCUCUCCAUAGCUGGUUUCCUCUUAGGCCUCGAUAGAGCAGUCCCUGAAUCACACAGGUAUGCUGACUACGUCUUUUCCUGGUACAAACCAUCAUGGGGGAAACACACAGCAAGAAGCAUCUUCAGGUCACAAGAUAGACUUUGGGAAUCACCCAACUGAUGGAAAGAACCAGGAAAGGGGUCAGGAUCUGCACCUUGGCAAACUUUGAAGAACACCCAAUUUGAUGAAUGAAAACUCCUCACUUGUGCUCUGGUGGUGUUUUAGGACAAUGGGCCCCUCCUGGAUGCUCCAGUGAAGCCCCAUAUCACCUUUUUCCUUCCUGUUUGCCAUAGCUCCAGGUGACCAACUGUCAUUAACUUUGGAUGUUUUUCCUGGAGGAGGAGAAUGUGCAGGAAUGAGAAGAAAAUACCAUCAGAAUCAUGUGGACCCACAUUCAUCCCUUACUUCACCCCUUCUGGGAAGGAACCCAGCAGGCUCAAAGAUAUGGAAAAUGCCACCAGAAAAACAGUACCUGGGACAGAGGGUAGAGAUUCCUAUGGCAGGAAUGAGACUACUUUUAAUCUUUCUUCCGUCAUCUCAGCUUUUAAAUUUCUCCCUAGAGAACAUUUGGGUAGUAAGAUUCAGAGGUGCAUGUUAGGGUGUCAGGUGCACCCUGUGUCCUGGAAGUAGAUGGUACAGGCUCCUUUGUCUGGAGGCAAAGCGGGGCCAGAGUGGGCAGGGUCAGUUUCAAGGCUUUGGGAAAGCAGUGGUCUGGCAGUACUCUUCUGGCUCUUGGAAGCAGGAAUGCAAACUUGAUUCAGGCUGGGAGCAAACACCUGUUUCAUCUUUCAGGAAUAUCAGGAGUAUAGCAGCAGGUGACAGGGUACUUUGCAGAACCAGCAGAGGGGUGUCACCUCACACCCCAGGGAGCCAUAGUGUCCCAGUGUGGAGGCAGAAAGGUAGAAAGGGGUCAUUGGAGUAGCUUAGAGUAAUCUUGUGAGCUUUAGGCUUAAAUCAGCUGACUGAGCAGGGUCUUCUCUUCCACUGUUCAGGAUGAGGCUAUGCCUGGGGUCAAAAAGAAAAAGCCUCCAACUAUUUUACAUUGGCAGCUAUGAGGAUGGAAAAAAUAGUAGUGAUGGUGUUUGUUUUUUCAUUAACAGGUUAACCUGACCAUUGUGGGAAUGUCAUUAAAUAUUUUUCUAAGAUAUAAUUUUUACUGACUAAUGCUUGUGCCAUUACUUAAACCAUUACCUUAAAUUGUUUUCUAAUAUAAAUAAUUCUGAGAUGAGCACCUAUGAAUAUAUAUUUUCUCCCAUCACUGAAGUGAGAUUGCUGAAUCAAACGAUGGAAGGUUUUGAAGACUCUGGAUACAGUUUUCUAAGUUCCUUUCUAGAAAAUUGUGUUAACAAACGCUCCCAAGAGCAAGGCAGAAGAAGACUGAUAAAUUUGUUCUUGUGACUUUCUCAGGAUGUGGACUUUGGAGAAGUAAUACCUGCUGAUCCUGGACUUCUGAGAAUGGGUGUUUAUGGGAUAAGAUGGGAAGGUUUUCCAGCCUCCUUUAGGGAGGUCAUUACCUUCAAAUGAAAAAUUGAGGUCACACUAGAUAUACAUACACAUAGAAAGUACAAUGAGGAAAUGAACUUCAAGUAGGAAAUCAAGCAGGAAAUAAGUCAAUGAUGGACUAAUCUCUCAAAGUAAGUUGUUCUGGGAGCUCUGAGAGAAGGCAUAAGGGGUGUGUAUCCAGCACCUGAUGCCAAGACAAGCUUUGCUCAGAUGAAGACAACACACAGCCUUUCCACUCCUUUUGGGUUGAUUGUGUCCCAUUUCUUCAUUAUUCUUUUCUUCAUUUAACAUUAAUUGAGCACAUGGUGUCAAGCACUGUAAAACAAAAGGGGGUGCAAAAGUGAGGAGUUCUCAGUUCAGUGUGUCUUUGAGUAAAGACGGGACUAGGAGUAGAUCCCAGAUGUGCUAACAACAGUUCCAGUAUGAUACCGUAUCUCUGGAGAUCAAAGCAAUUAUCCCAGCAUAAAUUUAGGAAAGACUUCUGAGAUGAGGACACUUGAAAGCAGUGGAGGCCAAAUCAUCUUUGAUCACAAGGAGAAAAAGAGAGAGGGCAUUCCAGAAAAGCACAUGCUAAAGCAUGGAGAAGUCAAUGAGUCCCACAUGUUUGUGAUUGUGGCAACAUAGAUCAUGGUAAAGGUGGGGGCAAGAGGACAAAAAAGGUCAGAGGCACAGUGACAAGAAGUGAGGCUGUAAAAUAAGUCAGUUUCUAUUGCAAAGUCUUUGUAUUCCAUUCAAAGGGCUUCAGCCUGUCCUACAGGAAUGAGGAAGCCAGGGAAUGUCUUAAUAGAUGCCAUUUAUAUAAACCCAUAUUUCUGGUAUAACUGGUGGCAGAGGAAAUGGGCUGGAAAAGAUGAGAGCCUGGAAUGGGAAAUGACUAAAGUCAUGACAUAAAGACAUCGACAUGCAUAGAUUUUGUGGUUAAACACAUUUUUUAAACAGAGGCAGAAAGAAGAAAGUGUAUGGCAGAAAUGACCAGAGACCGCAGAUGAGCUCAUGGUGGACAGUGAUGAAGUUUGAAGCCAGGGUAGCUGUCAUUGCAGAGAAUGAAACAUGGCCAAGAACUUCCUAAAUAUUAGACUAAUGUCAUUAUUUUUUCCUUACCUAUGACAGCUGAUGAGCCAGUGUGAUCUAUGAUCUUUCUGGGUAUUUUAUUAAGUUUUCAUCACUGUGCUGCCUUUGCAAUCCACUAGCCUCAGGGAACAUUUGAGACUUGAAUUUGAAAAUGACAUUCACAAAAUUAGAUAUUCUUCAUGUGUGUGUGGUGUGUGUGUGUGUGUGUGUGUGUGUGUGUGUGUGUGUGUCCUUUUUUUUUCUUUUCCUAGCUCCAAACUGUCUUCAAAGGGUUAUAAAGAAUGGGGUCUUUGAGUCCUUUAACCUUUAGCUAUGAGAUAGCUAAUUUUUGUUCCCCAAGCAAACAUGUCAGAAAUGACUCCCUGUUUCUUUAUUAUUUGCAAAUAUAUGUUCUUUUAUUCCACCCCCUUUCCCCUUGGGAAUGAAGGGCCUCCUUGGAUGGGCCUUAGGCCCAGGCUCUCAGAAAGUUAAGAAGGCUUUGGAGGGUGUUCUGAGGGCAGAUAAAUGGACAAAAUAAUGGUGCAAGGAGACCGUGUUGGAGAAAAUUCAGUUAGGCAAGAAGCACCGAGGAGUUCGACCCGGGAGGAAGUCCAGUGAGAGCUCUGGCAAUGUGAAACCAGGAAGUGACCUUUAGUUAAUCAAGUACCGAAGAUGAGAGGGCAGACAUAAGACUCAGACAAAAAAAAAGUGAUAAAAAUCAUUCUGAAAAGGGAAAUUCUAGUUCUUUGUUCUCUCUUCUUAUCAUAUAAUUUCUCAGGCUCUCUCUGUAUCGCCGGAGGAACAUGAAAAAUUUAAUUAAUGACUCGAACAUUUUCAUGUAGGCAGAGGUUUGGUUUCCUGUAGAUAAGACAUCUGGUUAAUCAAGUGAACUUUCUCCUUUUCAUCCGUGUUAUGACACUUGUAUAUUAUGUGGCCACAUGGUAUUUACUAGCUCACUUCCAUCUCUAUAAUUUGCUUUGCUCCGUGUUAUUUGAUCUGGACCAGCAACUUUAAGACAUCAUGUCUACCUCAUCAGCUAUGUCUGCUCCCAACCAAAACCAACUGUGGGCCUCUGACACCUUCAUAUUGUUCGUAGCUUGAGACUCUAGCCCCUCCCUCUAGCCAGCCUUAUGCUUUCUUCCUGCUUUAAAUUCUUGCUUUCAACCUUGCCCACAAUUGGGAUUUUGCUGUAGGUCACACUAAGACCACAACUCAUGAUGUGCUGUUCAAUGAGCAGAGUUUCCUGUGGUCUCCCAGAUGACACUUGAGCAUGUCUCACCAUGCCAUGGAUGAUUUCCCAAAUCCAAGUCGGGGACAUUUCUAGAACCUCAUGACAUAGGCAGACCCCCUACUGCUGGCUCUUCCAAUUGUAAACAUGUAAGUCAUGCCACAACCCACUUAGCAAAUAUCUCAGUGGCCUCAGGGCUGUGCCCUUGAAUGGAUUACACUGCUCUUGGAUGUUCCAUAGGAUAAAAAAAUCACAAGAGAAAAAGAAAAAGUCUGGAGACUUGGAGAACAAAAUGCCAUAGAAACAAGUCUCUUCACAUCAGGAGCUCUAUAGCUGAAAUCUGCUUCCUUCAACUCCCAACCCAAUGCCCUAUCCUCAGCUGCCAAUCCAGCAAGAACACAUUUGUACAAAUGUGAUGUGGGCUCACUCCUUGGGUGGAACUUGCUAGAAAUCUCAAGCAGUGAACAGUUUCUGAAAGCUUAAGAAUACCCAUUUUAACUUUACCUCAAAAAGGUUAAAUGAUAGAGUAACACGGACAGAGAACAGACUCUAGGAAAUGUGCAAGAAGUAAGCUCUCUUUCUGUUUUAUUCAGAUAUGAGUUUUCAUUUCACCAGCCCCCAGUGGAUCUGAUCCAAUGACCUAGAGAUUCAUGAGGCUGAAAUUACCUUGGUGAACAACAUGAUCUUUCUAGGAUUCCAGGCAUUCCUGGUACUAAAAAUCCUCCUAAGCUAUUGACAAUUUUUUUUUAAUUGUGGGUAAAAUACACACAACAUACAACUCAACAAUUUAACUAUUUUUAAAUAUACAGUUCUGUGGCAUUAAGUAAUUUCACACUAUUGUGUGACCAUCACUGUCAUUCAUUUCCAGAACUUUUCUAUCUUCCCUCUAAUUCUCCAUUUCCUUCUCACCUCUCAGCCCCUGCCCACCAUCCUGCUUUCUGUCUCUAUCAGUUUGACUACUCUGGGUACCUCACAGAAAUGGAAUCAUAUAGAAUUUGUCCUUUUGUGACUGGUUGAUUUCACUGAUAAUUCUUAACUAUUAUAACAUUUUCCUCAGUCAACUUGUUUUUAUGUCACAUAGAUCCAGAUAUACUCUUGGUGUUACUGAGGGUCCAAACAUCCCUUUUCAACAAUGUAGUACAUCAGUAAAUAAUCAAGUAUUUAUUGAAUUCCUACUAUAUGUUUAGCCAUAAAAAAAUAAGAAUUUUGAAGAAUAGUCAUUAUCCCUCCCCUUAAGAAAAUUCUAAUUUUGUAGAUGUGGAGGCAAAGUGAAUGCAAUAAAAUAGUAGUAAACAGCAUAUAUGCACAUGUAUGCAGACAAACACACACCUAUUCACAUGUAGACAUCUGACCUCAUUACUUUUAUGUGGUCAUGAUGAUGAUACAGAAUUAUCUCUGUACAGGCGAUACAGAGAUAAUUCUAAAAAAUCUAAUCUAUCUUGGGUAAGUCCAAGAGCAUCUUGGGACACAAUACUUAGCAAAUUGGCUUUUGGGAAUUCUUUACUUGGGUCAGUGGUUUGGGGGAAACCUUUCACUUAUUUUGUAGGAGGUUAGUGGUCUCGCUGUAUUAUCCAAGUUGGUCUUAAACUCCUGGCCUCAAGCAAUCCUCCCACCUCAGCCUCCCAAAGCACUGGGAUUACAGGCAUGAACCAUCAUGCCUGGAAAAUUUUCAUUAAAAAAAAUCUAAAUAAAUAUUAACUAUCCAGGGAUUUUUUUUGAAACAAAUGGGAAGUAGGAACUUAGCUCACACAUCUCUCUCUCGAUGUGCCUAUUCACUUUAGAUAUUUCACUGAAUCCUGCUAAAAAGCAGUCAGCUAUUUGCCAUCUGUACAGAACAGCUGCAAUUUCCUUCCUAUCCAAGCACAACAUUUUAUUAUAGAGAAAUUGGCAUAUUGUUUUUGCCAUGUGCUUUUUACAUAUUCCUCCCCAUGGCUAGACUAAUCAGGGAAGAAAUAUCUUCAUGUCCCAGCUCCUAGCUAGGUCAGGUGAAUACAAGUGACAUCAUGUGUAUCCUCUUCACCAAGUUAGCAUUAAGUUGCCUUGCCAAACCCUUGAAGCUUCUUAUGUGAGACAUCUGUGCCCAAUGUUAUUUAUGAAUAGGAGCAAAAUGUAUAAAUAUCCAUGGGACUUCCUGUUAAAUGUACCACAUUGAAUGCAAAUAUUUAUCUCUGCUGCUUCUGAAACUUUAUUAAAAUGAGAGUAGAAAAAAUAGAAGGAUACAAAUCAACAAGGAGGAAGAGAACAAGAAAGAUGAUCCCACCAAAUAAGAAAUGCCAACAAAAUUUUGGAAUCUGGAAAUAGACGAAUGACUGGUAAUUAUUUAUCAGAGCCCAGAAAGAAUAUUGAGGAGGGAGGCACAAGAAAUGAGUUAAUGUCAAUUUCAGAACCCUGUAAACAUUUAGAAAUUUGGAGGCAGUAGGUACUCUGAAGUUAGAGGAAGUAUGGGGCUUAAAAUAGGAUUCGUUAAAAAAUCUGUGUAAAGAAGAGUUAGAUUUCCAAUCCUCUUUCUAUCUCUGACCACCAGUCAAUUAACCCUUCUUCACCUAGGCAGGAGAAUGGAGGCUCUUCUUCGGGGAAAUUUAACCUGGAAGGCUCUACUUGAGCACCUAGUCACGGAAGAUAGUGGGGGAAAUGCCAGGCUGGAAAUAGGGACAAUUAAGUGACAAUUAUGGUGAGCCCCCUGGUUCCCAGAAUACUCACUGCCAAUCUUAUACUCCCCCAGAAAAUGAUUAGAAGAUUGCUCCUUGUAGAAAGAGAUACAUGGGCCCAGCAUGCUUGCAGAUACUGUCUUAUUUUUAGUGACUCACUCUUGAAUAUAAAGAGAGAACCAAGAAUCAUCAGACAUGUGGAGAAAUGAUGUAACAUGAAAAGUAAUAUCAAAACAAAGAAACAAAAAAAGGAAGAAAUUGAGAAAUGCAAUGGACUGAAUGUUUAUCUCUCCCCAAAUUCAUAUGUCAAAAUCCUAACCCCAAUAUGAUGGUGUUAGGAGGCGGGGCCUUUGGGAAGUAAUUAGAUCAUGAGGGUAGAUCCUUCAUAAGUGGAAUUAGUGCCCUUAUAAAAGAAACCCCAGAGAGCUCUCUCCUCCUUUUUCUGCUAUGUGAGGAUACAAGAAGAUGGCAUUCUCCAACCCAGAAGAGGGUUCUUGCCAGAACCUGGCCAUGCUGACAGAUUGAUCUAGGACUUUCACCUCCAGAACUAUGAGAAAUUAAUUUCUGUUGUUUGUAAGCCACUUAGUGUAUGCUACUUUGCUAUAGCAGCCUGAACAAAGACAGAAAGAAACUAAGAAGAUGAAAGACAGGAAUAAAAUCUCAUGAAAUUAUGAAAUUAUGGGUCUCAGAGUUAAAAGAUAGUGUAUUAAUGAAGAAAGAGAUGCUAUAAAAAACAGAGAAUAUGAUAUAGAGAAGAUAAGAACAUGAAAAAUUCUAUACCGUACAUUCAAGAGAGCAGUUGAAAGAUUAUGCUAAUAAAAGCAUACCAGAAAGCGGAAGAAAAAGAAAAAUAGAAGAGAAAAAGCAGAAAAUUUAACUAAUAGGAGUUCCAGAAAGAGAGAACAGAGAAGGCAGAGGGGAGUUAAUUAUCAAAGAAACACACACACACAGAAAUUUCAUGAGAUUGAAAGGCUUUGCCAAGAACUCUGACAUAAGAAGCACACCUGUUUUUUGAUUAAGUACAUAUUAUCAGCUUUAAGACAACAGUCAGUAGAUAAGUAAUUGCUUUGCAAUGGAAAAAAUAUCACUUUAGGCUAACGCCUGUUGAACCAACUACACUACUCCAGAGGCUGAGACAAGACGAUUGCUUGAGUCCAGGAGUUCGAGGCUACAGUUAGCCAUGAAAGUGCCACUGCACUCUAGCUGGGUGACACAGUAAGACCCUAUCUCUAAAUAAAUAAAAAUAAAUCACUUGGUUUUUCUUAACUAGAUUAUGAAACUCUGUGUCUGGAAGCUGUGGAGUUAGGGGCUCAGAAGAUAGGACAAUGUUCUUCAUUCAUUGCCUUCAUCUAUAUCAAACAUUUCCUAUUCUCUCUUUCUUCUCACAUUGAGCCCCACCUUCAUCCUAACUAAUCCAAUCAUUGUAUCUGAAGAACUAUGUUUCUUACCAGUCGUGAUAAAAAACAAUGCUCCACAAGUUUAAAACAAAGACAACAUGUGAUUGGAAAAAAUGAUGAAUUUCUUUUUCUUCCUCUUUGUUUUGUUUUCAUAGAUUACUAUUAAUAUAGAAAGCAAGGCUGGGCACCAUGGUUUAUGCCUAUAAUCCCAACACUUUGAGAGGCCAAGGCAGGCAGAUCGCUUGAGCCUAAGAGUUCGAGACCAGCCUGAGCAACAUGGCGAAACUCAGUGUCUACAAAAAAUUAGCUGGGCAUGGUGGCACGCACCAGUAGUCCCAGCUACUUGGGAGGUUGAGGUGGGAGGAUCACCUGAGCCUAGGAGGUUGAGGCUUCAAUGAACCAUGAUCUCACAGAGUGCAGCCUGGGUGACAAAGCAGGACUUUGUCUCAAAAAAAACAUAUAUAUAUAUAUAUAUAUAUAUAUAAACUAUAUUUUAAUGUUACGAGCAAAUAAUGUGCAUUCUUUUUACCCUAGGGAUAUAAAAAAGUGUAAAAUAAGAGAAGCGAGUGAUUAGCCAAGGGGAGUAGGUUUGUGUACAUUUUUCAAGAUAAAUGGAAUGCUGGUACACUAAAUAGUAUCUACAAACUAUUGUAAACUGAAAUGUUUAUAGUAUAAUUUGUAAGAUUAAGCAAACAUUAGUUGAAUACAAAAAUAGCAAACAACAAUUAGAACUGCUUUGAGAAAUCUACUGCCAAUAAAGCUUUUUUUUUUAAGUCUGUGGAAUGGCAGAUUGAUAAUGGUUUUAUUUAGUGAGGACAUAUCAACCAUGCUAUGCCAUUUUCCUUAGAAAAACCCAUAUCUGCUGAAGCUUAUUAACUCAUUCAAUCAUUGUGUAUCACCUAAUAAUAGACAAACUGAUUUGAAAGAAACUUGAUGUAAUUAUGGCAAUUUUUCUAGAUCAAAAAAUAGAAAAAAUCGGCGGGGCACGGUGUCUCACACCUGUAAUCCCAGCACUUUGGGAGACUGAGGCAGGAGGAUCACUUGAGGCCAGGAGUUCGUGAACAGCCUGGCUGACAUGGUGAAACCCCGUCUCUACUAAAAAUACAAAAAUUAGCCAGAUGUGGUGGCACGUGCCUGUAAUCUCAGCUACUCUGGAGGCUGAGGUAGGAAAAUCACUUGAACACGGGAGGCGGAGGCUGCAGUGAGCUGAGAUUGUGCCACUGUAUUCCAACCUGUCAAAAAAAAAAAAAAAACCCAAAAGAAAUAGUCACUUAAUGACACUUUACAUGUCUAAUAAACAAUAAGACUUAGCUAAUAUUGCAGACACAUUUCUUUAAAUCUAAAGCACUAAAUGGAAUCACCACUGUAUUGUUUGAGUAUAUCAAUAGAUCAUUAAAAAACUGCUGGUAUGCACAUUUGGCCUUUAUCAUUGAAGAUCAAUAAAACCGCUGAAAUGGCUUUCUUUCUUCUUUUUUUUGACCUUUUUAGCCAGACUGUAAUUGGGCUUGUCACCUGACUCUCAGGUGAAAAUAAUCAUAAAUCAGAUUCAUCAAAUAAUGUUAAAGAAUAGCUCACACCAACAGAGCUAGGAAAACCAGUCCCUGCCAGUCACCAUCCAGCUCCUUGGGAAUUUGAGGGCUGGUUAUCUCAGAGAUGUUAUAUCAACUAUUCUUUGCUUUUGUCCCCCAUGGAGCCAGACCCGAUAAUGCUUUGAAAGAAGUGCAGAGAACACAGAAAAGAGUCAGUAGAAAGGAGAUUACAGGGUGAGGGGAAAAGAAUACAAGCAGCUUGUGUCUGUUAAAACAAAUCACCCAAGUGAGUCAUCUCUCCUGAAUCACUUCUCCCUUCUGGGAUGAGGCUCUGUGAGUACCUGGCUCCAGAACCCAGAGAGGAUUUACAGCCAGGCAAAUACUAACUGAGGCUAUGUUGGAACCUGUGUCACCCAAUCUCCUAAUUACAGGUGUCUGUGGUUAAAAUUUGGAGCUCACCAAUUUGGAAGAUGUUAUGAGUCUAAGUUCUGUAAUAGCUGAGUCAGGUUUGAUACCAGGCAGCCCUACCACCUAAACACAUUAUAUUCUGAAUUCAAAUGGACCCCAUUUACUUUCCCCAUGCCAACACCUUUUCCCCAGCCCCACCCUACUGCUACCUCCUGAUGACUUCUGUCUUCUCUUCCUGCCCUCUAUUUGGCCUAGUGAAGGGAGCAUAGGUCUGUAUACAUUGUUAGCAUUCCUUUAAGAAGCAAAUCCUGAAAACAAGAAGAAAUAAAGGGGUAUGUCUAUUUUCUUUAAACAUUUGGAUUGAGUAAAAGGGAAGCAAAGUUCUUAAGUUAUUAUAAACUUAAAAUAUUUGAACUCUGUGCUGGAUGCUUUACUUUUACAAUAUAUUUAAUUAAAACAACCAUACUUCAUAGCACGAAUGCUAGCCCGGAAAACUGAGACUAAGGUAGGUUGAGCUGUGGCCCAAAGUCACAAAGCCCACUUGUGAGUGAGAAGGAAAUUGUGAAUCCAGGUCUGCCUGCCUGAAAAGCUGGCCCACACAAUCCCAGACUCUGAGCUUUAACAAACAUGUGGCUGAUGAGAGCCAUGAGGACAAAUUGCGUGGCUAUUAUUAUGCACUGUGCACAAUAAAUGAGGUAAUGCAUUUGAAAGGGCUGUGUAACUAUAAAGUACUCUACAAAUGUUAUUACCAUUAUUAUGGUUAUAUUUAUUACCUUCUUUGCUGGGGGUGAGACUGCACACAUUAUAGAAUAGAUGACUAUUCUGAAUCACCAGUCCCCAGUGACGCACAGUUAAGGUUGUGGUGAGCCACCUCUCAGCAGAACAGAGAUACACUCCACAGUGCACAGUACAAUUUCUUGAAGGUAAGUGUGAGCUUUGUGUAAAUCAGCGGUCCUCAACCUUUUUUGCACCAGGAACCAGUUUUGUGGCAGACAAUUUUUCCCUGGUGGGGCUGGUGAGGGAUGGUUUUGGAUGAAACUGUUUUCACCUCAGAUCAUCAGUCACUAGUUAGACUCUCUUAAGGAGUGUGCAACCUAGAUCCCUCACGUGUGCAGUUCAUAAUAGGGUCCAUGCUCCUAUGAGAAUCUAAUGCCUCCACUGAUCUGACAAGAGGCAGAGCUCAGGCAGUAAUGCUCUUGCUAGCCCGCAGUUCACCUCCUGGUGUGCAGCUGGGUUCCUAACAGACCACAGACAGGUACUAGUCCACUAGCCUGGUGGUUGGGAACCCCGAUGUAAACCACAAUACUUAUCUUUAUCUCUUGCAUCUUUGAUUUUCUCUUCUGUCUCUUAGUUACAGGAGGGCCAGUGAAUUUGAUUCAUAGUCUAGAGUAAUUCAUCAGCUUGAGGGCUGAGUGCCAUCAAAGUAUAUGAUAGUUUAUGGUAAAAUAUUAUUUUAAAAGUUUAAUAUUUUUAAUCUAAAAGCAGCUUUUAAGUAUCAUUAAGAAAAAUGAAACCAUCUUAAUAGAUAUAUGAUUGGAUAAAUCAGUGUGGUGCUAUAUACUAUGAAAUGCAUAUGUGCAGACACCAAAAAUUAUUCAGGAUUUAUUGACAAGUGGAAAAAAUCUAAUUGCAAAAUUAAAAGUGUAGUAUGAUUUUGUUAUCAUACUUUACGAAUGUGAGUCUACAAAUAUGUUAAAAAAGGUGACUGGAAAGAUGCACAGCACAUUUUUAGGUAUGGUUACCUUAGGAAGGGAGUAGAAAUACAGGGAGAGAAAAGAAAUACAACCUUUUCACUAUAUUUCUGUAUGUUUGAGUCAUGCACAAGAUCAAUAAGUGUAUUAUUUGUAAAAUAAAAUAGCAGUGAAUUAAGUCGUACUGUGAUUAGUUUUCAAAAAUCUAAUUAAAAUAGGUGCUGUUUUAUUGUGAAAAUUGGCAAAAUAUUUGCAAACAGAAGGAACUAUAUUAUAAAAGAAACAAUUUUGUUUAAAAAGUCCAUAACUGGAUGUGAGAUUUUAUAAUAAAAAUUUCCAAGCACCUAGCUUGAAUGAAUAAACAAAUAAAUAAAUAAAUAAAAUGCUUGAAGGCAGAUUAUAAUGAAAUUUCAAAUUAACACCACCAAUAAAGGGAAAAUUCUAAAGCUUUCAGAGAGAGAAAAAGAAAAGGAUAACACAUGUGAAACCUGGAAUUAAAAUGGCAUUGAACUACUUAAAGCAACACUAGAAGUUAAAAGACAGUGCAGCAAUAUCUUCAAAGUUCUAAAGGAUUUCAACCUAAAAUAUUAUACCCAGCCAAAGUAUACAUCAACUGUGAUGGUGAUGGAAAAAUAAAGACAUUUUUAAGACGUGCCAAGCCUCAAAAUUCUACUUCUCAUUCUCCUUUCUUCAUGAAGCUUUUGAAGAAUGUGCUUCAUUUAAUGAAAGAGUGAACCAAAAGAGAGCAGGGCAUGACAACUGGAAAAAUAGGGGACACAGAACACAAGAGAGGUGAGGAGACUAUCCAAGAUUAUUGCAAUCAUAAGUAUCUGGACAAUAGACGUAACCUGGUCCAGAAAGCAACUGGUGAAACUAGAACAGGAUAAUAAAAGGGCUCCAAGAAGGAUGUCUUUAUUAAAGUAAAAUGUUGCAUAUGCAAAAAAUUAAAUUUAAUCAUAGCAUGCUACUUGUCUCAGCAGUAAAGAAUAUUUUUAUAAUCAUGGUGCCAGUGUUGAUUUUACCAAAAAUUAUAAUUUUAUUCUGGUGAGAGAAUUGUGAGAGGGUAUAUGGAAGUUGUUGGGAUAGGCAUGCUAAAUCCUCAUCCCCCAUCAUAUGAAGUCACUAACUUUGGUGACAAAACUGACAAAAAUGAGAGUAAGUAUAUAAGCACAUAAUUUUGAAAUAUGGAAGCAAAGAGAUAAACAAAGAGUUAAAAAAUAUCUGUCAUUAGAAGUUGGGCCCUGAAGAAAAGAAGGAAGGGCAAGUAUUUCCUGUCUUAUCUCAAGAGUUUUGUAGCUAUCUUUUAACUUUUAAAAUAUGUACUAGCAUUAGUUUGGUAAAAAUAAAUGUUUAAAAUCAACUAGAAUUACAAACAAACAAAGAUGUCUAACAAUGAACUUUAUCUCUUUGAAUACAAUAGGAUAUUAAAUCAUCUUUUAAAAAAUCAGUGUUUAAAUCAUUUUUAAUGACAAAAAAUCCUCAUGAGAAUAUAAAUUUUUAAAAAUUGGGGUACAAAAUAUAUUUGGCACGUAAUCCUAUGCUAAAAAAACUAGAAAGAAAUGCAUAUAUAAGCUGUUAUUAGCUCUUGGGAUGGAAUUAUAAGUGGUUAUUAUUUUAUUUUCUAUACUUUUCUAUAUUUCUAAGUUUUUACACAGUAAAUAUAUAUUACUUUUAUGAAAGAAAAAGAGUUAACUAUUUGUUUUAAGCACAUGGUGUUUCAUCAUCAAGAAAAUGCCUCUUCUUCUAUAAUUCUGCCAAGGACCAAACUAAAGAAAUUAGUUUAAAGUGCAGGAGGGGAGAUUCCAAUUAAGUACAUGUAUACAAGUGUGUUAUUAAAUUGUGAAACUGACUACCUGGGGAAGUCACACAAAAUAUUUUAAGUCAAGAUUAACCACCAUCUUGGAAUAUUAGUACUUGAAGGAAACACCAAGAUGACCAAUUCCAAGGCAAUUCUCCACAGAUGAGAAAAUUGAACCUUGAAGAGUUUAGAUAGCUGGCCUAAGGUCAUAAAGCUAUUAAGAGGAAGAGGCAUGGUUGGAAUGCCAGUCUCUUAAUAGCUUUGUGACCAGUGCCAUGUUUUUCCCACUCUUAUGAUGUGUCUGAACUCCAUAAAGUGCUCAACAUAAUUUAAAGGUCUGGGAUGGAUUUACAUAAACCCCAGUUCCUCAGGUCUGUUUCUUCUCUUGUUUCUACCCUAGUUCUUUUUAUUCUUUCUCUUAUGGCCUCUCUACAGAAUAUUAUAAAAUAAAAACAUAAGAUAUCAUCUAAGGUGUGCAUAUUUGCCUUAUUGUAUACCUAUGUUUUGCAGAAAUAUAUCUUCUCUUUGGUUAACAUCUUUCCCAAACAACCACUGCAAGCCUCUGCAAGCAGAUGGUCCUCAGCAAAUACAGUUGACCAAGGUUCUCUUUAUAUGUACAUCUCAUGCUUCUUUGAAAAAUCAAAUUCAACUAAGCCAGUUUUAAUUUUGUUUUGCUUUAUUCUGUUUAGAUAACUACAUUUAAGCAAAAUUUAUACUGAGGUGUUUUCUAUGUAACCUGUUAUUUUGGUGGAACACAAUCAGGUUUUUAGGUUUGGAAACUGGCUUGGGUUUGGAAAAGAAUGUUAAAACUGGUGACUGAUAAAAUGACAUUUGAUCCAACCAAUGGUUGGGAGAAUUCAUGAACAAAGUGCCACAUAAAUGAAUUUUCUUGAUUUCAAUCCAUUAG
rnacentral:lncRNA from 1 species